AUUUAAAUAGUUUAUUAAAAACAUUAGUUUGUGGUACUAAAGAAAUAUAUUUAUAUUUUAGAUU
rnacentral:tRNA from 1 species